AAAGUGUAGCAAGAAAGGCCCAGCACUGAAGAACAAGAAACAGCAAAAUCACCAAACCAAAACGAAACCCAUCAAAAUCCUCUGUCGCGCACAGGUAAGGUGGUUGAGACCUCCGCCCUCUUUCGAUGUUUCCAAGAUUUCUCUGCUAAUCAAAACACAAAACCCCCUUAAAUCCCAUCACCUGUCUCUCCUUCAACUUUCAAGUAACAACCUCUCUGUCUCUCUCUCUCUCAUUGCUGCUUCCAAUUCCCAGAUGGCUCAGCUUCUCAAGACCACCUUCCUUCCAUCCUCUCUUCCCCGGGCAUCCACUGUUCGCUCUCCCUCCGUACACAUUUCCACUCACCGUUCCAGGACAACCCAGGUGGAGGCCAAGAUCCGAGAGAUCUUCAUGCCGGCAUUGAGCUCCACCAUGACUGAGGGAAAGAUUGUUUCUUGGGUGAAAUCAGAGGGAGAUAAGCUUUCUAAGGGUGAAAGUGUUGUUGUUGUUGAGUCUGAUAAGGCUGACAUGGAUGUUGAGACUUUCUAUGAUGGUUACUUGGCUGCUAUUAUGGUUGAAGAAGGCGGAGUUGCUGCCGUGGGUUCUGCUAUUGCUUUAUUGGCUGAGACUGAGGAGGAAAUUGCGGAGGCCAGGUCCAAAGCCUCGUCGUCGUCAUCAUCAGCUGCUCAGCCAGCAUCUACUAGUAGUAGUGCUCCGGAACCGUCGCAGACUGAGAAAAUUGCGGAGCCUGCGGGACCUGCAAUUUCAAAGGCGGCAGCAAUUGUGGGAUCUGCUGUGCACCCGGCAUCAGAGGGAGGGAAAAGAGUAGUGGCUUCGCCUUAUGCGAAGAAGCUUGCCAAGGAGUUAAAGGUGGAGCUGGAGAGAGUAGUGGGUAGUGGACCUAUGGGUAGAAUUGUGGCUAAGGAUGUUGAGGCUGCUGCCUCCGCCGCUGAUGCCGCUGCUAGCUUGGCUCCUAAGGUAGGAACCACCGUAAAUCCGCCGUCUGGGAUUGAGUUGGGGACGGUGGUGCCAUUUACAACAAUGCAGGGGGCAGUUAGUAGGAAUAUGGUGGAGAGUUUGGCAGUUCCUACUUUUAGAGUUGGCUACACUAUUACUACCAAUGCACUUGAUGCUCUUUACAAGAAGAUCAAGUCUAAGGGAGUGACCAUGACAGCCUUGCUCGCAAAGGCUACAGCCCUUGCGUUGGUUAAGCAUCCUGUAAUAAAUUCCAGUUGUAGAGAUGGUAAAAGCUUUACGUAUAAUAGUAGCAUCAACAUUGCAGUUGCUGUGGCCAUGGAUGGUGGAUUGCUCACGCCAGUGCUUCAAGAUGCUGAUAAGGUUGACAUUUAUUCACUGUCAAGAAAAUGGAAAGAGUUAGUUGAUAAGGCCCGGGCCAAGCAGCUGCAACCUCAUGAAUACAAUACAGGUAAUGUCAUGUAACGCAUGCUAUUUUACUAAAUAUGCAAGAUAUAUUAUUUUACAUUUCCCAAACAAAUCUAAUUCUGAAUAUGGUAUUUGUUCUUGUAUGGAAGAUAUUCAAACUCUAUCUAUGCUUUCUUUCUUCUUGCAAAUUUAUGAUUUUCUGCAUCUUGGAAUCUCCCAUUUUGAUGAGGAUUGUACAUUAGGAUAUUAUACAUAGUCCCUAUGCUCUGUCCAUGUUUAUGAAUUCAUUUCAUCCCAAAGCACAGAUGCCAAACCAAGCUAGGCACUGUAGGUUUUGUAUUAUUGAUUCUUAAGCCUAGACUCUUGUCUUGCAUUGCAAAUGUCAUGUGGUAUAUGAGUAACUAUUGGCAAUUUCAUGAAUAUGGUAAGGCUCAGGUCCCAUUGGACAGCUUGGCAUGUUUAUCAUACUAGCUUGGCAUGUAAUGUUUAUCGUACUUGCAGAUUCUAGAUUUAUCUUUGCCUCACUCCAAUCCUCUAAGUCACUCUAUCUGUAUAACUUAAAAUUCAAAAGGAUGGAAGAGCAUUGGGAUCUGCAAGGUCAACAUGAAGCAUAGCUGUGAUGGCCAUUUGGUUUUAAAAAUUUAAUGGAGGAUCAUGGUGCAGUCAAGCAACAAACUUUUUGCAUUAUUAUGAUCGUAGGUUCUUCAUUGGGUUUUCAUACUGAGAUUGAUUUUUUUAUUUUCCACAGCUGUGAAUUUUGAGGUCCGUUAUGGUUUCACAGUUGUCAUUCGGUUAUAGUUUCACAGUUGUCAUAGUGCAUUCAUCUUGCAAUUCUGUUUCACCCUUAGACAUGGCCUCAUUGAGAUGGGCUGCUAGUUUUCUAAGAUUUUGGUGUCCUCAAACUCAAGUUCUGAUUUGCAGACCUUGUGCAGGUUUCCUUCUCUAGUAUUAACAAACUGCUAGAUUCAUUUAUUCAUGAGAAUUUAGGUAUAUGAUUUCCUGCUAUGCUAUCAGAUUCAUGGCAAUGUUAUUUGCCAUUGCAAGUGAAGAUGGAUGAGUGUCUGGAGAUUUGAAUGCUAUUGUUAGUCUUAUGGCUGCACAAUUCUUCCUGAAUCUUUGCUUGUGAUGACUUGUUUUGUUGGAUGGCUGAUAGGAUCUACUGCAACUUGUAAUAAUUUAUUGGCGGCAUUAUCCAUUGCUAACUGGUCCUUGAGAUGUAUGAUUUCAGUGUCAUGUCCUCGACAAUUCAAAGAUAUAACUUUUUUUUUCUCUGAAAUUCAUGGACUUUGCUGUUCUUUGGUUCUGGUUCAAUAUUCAAGAAUAAACUGGUUAAGUGUAUACUUAAUGGCACAUGCAUAGCAUUUUCUCCUUAUGCAUAUUUCCCCUUUUUUUCCCCUGGCAGGUACUUUCACGCUUUCUAACCUUGGAAUGUUUGGUGUGGAUCGGUUUGAUGCCAUUCUGCCUCCUGGAACUUUUUUAUUUAUUUGGAUUGAUGCGGGGAGCAAUCAUGGCUGUUGGUGCAUCUCAGCCAUCUGUUGUGGCCACCAAGGAUGGUUGUAUCGGCAUGAAGAACCAGAUGCAGGUAAAUGUUACAGCAGAUCAUCGAGUAAUCUAUGGUGCUGAUCUGGCUUCCUUCUUGCAAACCUUGGCAAAGAUUAUUGAGGAGCCCAAAGAUCUUACUUUCUAGUCCACACCCAUCAGCCGUCACUAAACGAGGCCUUUUCUUUACAUCUGUCACAUUUCCCUGACCUUUUUGUAUGUUCUCAAUUCUCAUUUCCUUCAUCAAUCCUUGAUAUUUACUGAGGAGACUCAUGCUGAAAACUGCAGGAGCUAAAUCACUCUGUUCAAAUUUCUACAUGGAACAGGAGCAGAGUUUUGAAGGGCAAUGUUUAUUUGUGUUUCAAACUUAACAAUUUUUUGUACUUCAAUGAUGCCAUAAAAAUGGCCCUUUCAAUGUCUUCUUGGUGAUCAUUUUUGGUCGUUAAUUAUCGUCUUAUUAAUCAUAUUGUCAUCAUCAGAUAUGCAAAGCACGAAUUUGAUCUUCAAGGUUUUAGCUCUACUGCUCAUGAAAUUGAAUUGUUAAACUGAAUGAUGAUUUUGUUUGAGUGAUAUGACUAACUGAUUACUGAAAAGAAGCAUUCAGUAUCAGUUCAAAACGUCUAAUGAAUUUUUCUGCAUCUCUACUGCUUU
rnacentral:misc_RNA from 1 species